GGCCCAGUAGUUUCAGAGGAGAAGAUUUUUGUAAAAGUUAACGACAGACGACGGACGACGGACGACAGACGACGGACGACGGACGACAGACGACGGACGACGGACGACGGACGCCAAGUGAUGAGAAAAUCUCACUUGGCCCUUCGGGCCCGGUGAGCUAAAAAUGUGUACUAGAUCAGUUAUAAUGGACGUCAUCAUAGUCUUACUUAUUAG
rnacentral:lncRNA from 1 species